rnacentral:tRNA from 1 species
GAGGCCAUGGUGUAGCUUGGUAUCACUCGAGGUUUGGGACCUCGCAACCCGGGUUCAAAUCCUGGUGGCCUCA